CUUUUCUGCAAUAGUUUAGAGACACAAUCAAGUAAGUAGUCACUGGUGUCUGUGGGAACGGAAGAAGUACAAGUGUAGUUUUGUCCUUAUUUUCUCUGUUACGCUCAGAUCAGACAUGGAGAGGAAUGAUCCCAUGAACUUCACACAGCUUUUAUCUCCAUCCCCAUGCUGAGUGCUUCCCUAGGGCAUCGCUCUAAGAGCUGCUUGCAGCUCAGGCCCACAGCAGAUACUUCUUGAGCUGGAGUCAGGGCCCGGGGACUGGUGACCUGAGUGCUGCACAAGGCUGCCACUGAAAGGGCAGAAAAGGGGAGCGAAAGUAUGGGCGAACAGUGGAAAGAACAAAAGUACUAGUUAGUUUUAGCUCUGUAGGCUCCUGACACGUCUGUUGGCUGGCCUCAAAAAAGCUGUGCUCAGCCCAGCCUCGCAGCAAUUGCUGCUGCUGCUGGCUAGUACCCAGACCAGAGCCUGGUGAAACAUCCAGUCUCUCACUUCCAGCCUCAGGCCCAUGCUUCAGUUAAAUGUCCCCACUGCACCAGUGAGUCUCUCAGUCUGCCACGUGCCUCUUGUGGCUGUGGAGGAUUUGCCCUGGUCACAUUGCGUGUAUGGGAUGGGUCAGAUCUUUCCUAGCAUUUUAAGGUGUCUUGCCAGUGUUCUCCCCUCUGCUGCAGACAGGUGUGAACACCUGACAAGAUUUGACCUUUGAAGGUGGUGCUUGUGCAACAUAAUGCAGCUGCCAAAAGUGUUCACGUUAAGCAGCCAUGGCCUCAGCUAUCUGAGGAAUGCCCAAUGUUGCUAGCGCUCCUUAUUAAGGGAGAGCUAUAUUUUGAAAUAGCUAAUACUGAGAGGCAGCACUGCCCGUAUGCUGCAGGUUUAGCGUUGGCAGAACCCCGUCCGUUUCAAAACAAGAGGAAGGAAGAUGGCAGUUCUCGGAACAUGGAAAAGUUCAGGCUCAGGCAGGGUCAAAGUAACAGAAGAUGAAGGAAGAUGAAACUAGGCAGACUUUAGCAGCAGGAAAAAAAAAAAAGAAGAAGAAGAAGGAAAAAAAACAACAAAAACCCAUCGAGAGGCACAUGAGUAAAUCUUGGAUGCUGUGCAUUCUCAUUUUGAACUGGUUUGAACUGGUGUUGGUUGCUUCUGUGCAGAUAUGGAACGUGGUUAAAGUUUUAUAAUGGAAAAUCUGACAGGCAGUUAACUAAUCCAUGAGUCAUAUUUCGUAAGUGCCUAAAGGUCUCUGAUGUUCGACCUUCAUUUGAUACCCUUGCCAUCAUGGAGUUAUACAUAACCCAUCUGAAGAACAUUCUUUAUAUAGAUGACUGCAUGCUGCCCUUUUAUACCUGCAAGAAUGAGCGCUGCACUUACUGAAACAGGGAAGUCUACUGCCUGCCUUUCCACCCCUCUCUCUCUGUGGCUGUUUACAGAACUGCAGAGUGCUUUUCAGGCUGUCAACUUCCCCUUAUCCUCCUUGUUUCCUGAUUCCCUGAGCUUGUGUAGAAACUGAUGCUGCGGCAGGGCAAGGUAAAGAACUGAAAAAUAAGUGAAGAAUUGUGACAGAAGAACAGGCGUUGCCCCAGGGACUCAUAUACUAAAACAUCUUGAAAAAAUCUUCUGAAAAACAGACCAGUUGUGAGUUGACAACCAGUCUGGCGUCCCUAGGGCAGACCAUGCAUUACAGCAGAACUCAGAGAGGCGUAAUUAUAGAGGACAGGUAGAAAGUUAGCUCCUCGAAUGGGAAUUUCUUUGCACUGGAAUACUUACCUAUUUUGAUGUCUGAUGUUUAAUUAGCACUGUUCCUCUACAAAUACAUUUCUGCCAUGCGGAAACUUUUAACUUGCUUUUAAAAGUUUUGUUCUGAAAAUGGUUCAUGUAAGGUAUUUGAACCUGCUUUGUCUAGUAGUAUUAAUAACCUGGGGCAGACAGUGUUUAUAUGGUACCAAGCACCAUGAUGGCACUUAGUAAAUAAUGAAAUAAAUCACAGGCUUUGUUUCUGUUUAAACACUGUGCUUGACCUCUGUGGAUAUCUUCUGGAUCCUGCUCAACAGCCUCAUUUGGGUGCAACUGGAUAUUGUGCCAAUUUUAUUCCAGCUCCAUUAACGUAUGGCAACAAUACAGACAGUACAUCGCCUGACAAAGAACUCAUAGUCCUCCUCUGGAUUUAUGUAGCAAGAUUUUGGCAGUGGGGUGGCCUGCAAGAAGCCAGCAGCUGCCCCGUGUCAGAUCACAGCCCUUGUAGGAGCAGCCCAGGCCUGAGCUGCAGCCCAUGGAGAGCAGCCUGCAGAGGGGCAGGAGGGCUGAGGGAGCUGCCGCCUGUGGGGAACCGUGUGGAGCAGUGCCUGAAGGGUGGGCUCCAUGGUGCGGAGCUGUGUUGGAACAGUGCUGGGAGAGCUGCAGCAUGUGGAAAGCCCAUGUGGGAUCAGACCAGGAAGGAUGCCAUCCCAUGGGACGGACCCACACAGAACAGAAGCAGAGAGUGAUCAUGGAAGAGCAGAAGACAUGAAGCUUUAUGGACUGACCGCAGCCCCCUUUCCCUAUUCCCCUGUGCUCGUUGAGGGAAGGAGGUAGGAGUUGAGCCUGAGAAAAGGUGGGUGGAGGAGAGGUGUUGUCAGUCUGUUUUUAUUUCUCAUUGCCCUAUUACUAAUAGGCCAUAAAUAAAAU
rnacentral:lncRNA from 1 species